rnacentral:tRNA from 1 species
UGGGUUGUGGCUCAGAGGUAGAGUGCGUGCCUAAUAUGCAUGGGGCAUUGAGUUUGAUCCUCAACACCACAU